rnacentral:tRNA from 1 species
GGCCCUAUCGUCUAGUGGUUAGGACACAAGCUUUUCAAGCUUGGUACACGGGUUCGACUCCCGUUAGGGCUA